rnacentral:rRNA from 1 species
UACGUAGGGUGCAGGCGUUAAUCGGAAUUACUGGGCGUAAAGCGUGCGCAGGCGGUCUUUUAAGUCAGAUGUGAAAUCCCCGGGCUUAACCUGGGAACUGCGUUUGAAACUGGAAGGCUAGAGUGUGGCAGAGGGGGGUGGAAUUCCACGUGUAGCAGUGAAAUGCGUAGAUAUGUGGAGGAAUACCGAUGGCGAAGGCAGCCCCCUGGGAUAACACUGACGCUCAUGCACGAAAGCGUGGGGAGCGAACAGG